UACGUAGGGGGCAAGCGUUGUCCGGAUUUAUUGGGCGUAAAGAGCGUGUAGGCGGCCAGACAGGUCCGUUGUGAAAACUCGAGGCUCAACCUCGAGAUGUCGAUGGAAACCGUCUGGCUAGAGUCCGGAAGAGGAGUGUGGAAUUCCUGGUGUAGCGGUGAAAUUCGUAGAUAUUGGGAAGAACACCGGUGGCGAAGGCGGCGAGCUGGUCCAUUACUGACGCUGAGGCGCGACAGCGUGGGGAGCAAACAGG
rnacentral:rRNA from 1 species